AAAUUGAAGAGUUUGAUCAUGGCUCAGAUUGAACGCUGGCGGCAGGCCUAACACAUGCAAGUCGAACGGUAGCACAGAGAGCUUGCUCUCGGGUGACGAGUGGCGGACGGGUGAGUAAUGUCUGGGAAACUGCCCGAUGGAGGGGGAUAACUACUGGAAACGGUAGCUAAUACCGCAUAACGUCGCAAGACCAAAGUGGGGGACCUUCGGGCCUCACACCAUCGGAUGUGCCCAGAUGGGAUUAGCUAGUAGGUGGGGUAACGGCUCACCUAGGCGACGAUCCCUAGCUGGUCUGAGAGGAUGACCAGCCACACUGGAACUGAGACACGGUCCAGACUCCUACGGGAGGCAGCAGUGGGGAAUAUUGCACAAUGGGCGCAAGCCUGAUGCAGCCAUGCCGCGUGUAUGAAGAAGGCCUUCGGGUUGUAAAGUACUUUCAGCGAGGAGGAAGGCGUUGUGGUUAAUAACCACAGCGAUUGACGUUACUCGCAGAAGAAGCACCGGCUAACUCCGUGCCAGCAGCCGCGGUAAUACGGAGGGUGCAAGCGUUAAUCGGAAUUACUGGGCGUAAAGCGCACGCAGGCGGUUUGUUAAGUCAGAUGUGAAAUCCCCGGGCUCAACCUGGGAACUGCAUUUGAAACUGGCAAGCUUGAGUCUCGUAGAGGGGGGUAGAAUUCCAGGUGUAGCGGUGAAAUGCGUAGAGAUCUGGAGGAAUACCGGUGGCGAAGGCGGCCCCCUGGACAAAGACUGACGCUCAGGU
rnacentral:rRNA from 1 species